rnacentral:rRNA from 1 species
CAGUCGUACCUUCGGGUAAUCAGCCUUUCGGGUGCGAUUCUGUGGAGUUUGAGGAGCUUAACACCUUCAUGCUUUUGCAUAUUCGUGCACAUUUGGUGUACUUGUCCGUGUGGUGGGUUAACACCAAUUUUGGUCGUCAUAAAAUGACUGGAGGAAUGUAGCUUCGAUCUUGUAUUGAAGUGUUA